UACGUAGGGUGCGAGCAUUCAUCGGAAUUACUGGGCGUAAAGCGUGCGCAGGCGGUUCGUUGUGUCGGUGGUGAAAUCCCCGGGCUUAACCUGGGAAUGGCCAUGGAAACUGGCGAACUGGAGUGCGGCAGAGGGGGGUGGAAUUCCGCGUGUAGCAGUGAAAUGCGUAGAGAUGCGGAGGAACACCGAUGGCGAAGGCAGCCCCCUGGGCUAGCACUGACGCUCAGGCACGAAAGCGUGGGGAGCAAACAGG
rnacentral:rRNA from 1 species